rnacentral:rRNA from 1 species
UACGUAGGGGGCAAGCGUUGUUCGGAAUUACUGGGCGUAAAGGGCGCGUAGGCGGCACGGCAAGUCGGGAGUGAAAGCCCGGGGCUCAACCCCGGAACGUCUUUCGAAACUGCCGAGCUAGAGUGCGGAAGGGGCAACUGGAAUUCCCAGUGUAGCGGUGAAAUGCGCAGAUAUCAGGAGGAACACCGGUGGCGAAGGCGGGACUCUGGGCCGAUACUGACGCUGAGGAGCGAAAGCGUGGGGAGCAAACAGG